rnacentral:rRNA from 1 species
UGGUCAAGUUAUUAAGGGUGCAGGGCGGAUGCCUUGGCACUAGGAGCCGAUGAAGGACGUUAUAAGCUGCGAUAAGCUUCGGGGAGUUGCACGUAAACUUUGAUCCGAAGAUUUCCGAAUGAGGAAACUCACUUAGAGUAAUGUCUAAGUAUCAUUAAGUGAAUACAUAGCUUAAUGAGGGGAACUCAGGGAACUGAAACAUCUAAGUACCUGAAGGAAGAGAAAGAAAUUCGAUUCCGUAAGUAGCGGCGAGCGAACGCGGAUUAGCCCAAACCAAUAAAGUUUUCUUUAUUGGGGUUGCGGACAUAUCAUAACGAAGAGGUAUCGUAAUUGAAGAGGUUUGGAAAGACCCACCACAGAAGGUAAUAGUCCUGUAUGUUAAACGAGAAGACUUUAGAUAUGAUCCAGAGUACCACGGGACACGUGAAACCCUGUGGGAAGCAGGAGGGACCACCCUCCAAGGCUAAAUACUACCUAGUGACCGAUAGCGUAUAGUACCGUGAGGGAAAGGUGAAAAGAACCCCGGGAGGGGAGUGAAAUAGAACCUGAAACCCUGCACUUACAAGCUGUGGAAGCACAUUUCUUGUGUGACCGCGUACUUUUUGUAGAACGGGCCAACGAGUUACGUUAAGUAGCAAGGUUAAGCACUUAAGGUGCGGAGCCGUAGCGAAAGCGAGUUUUAACUGAGCGUUCAGUUACUUGACGUAGACCCGAAACCGGGCGACCUACCCAUGAGCAGGAUGAAGCGAAAGUAAAAUUUCGUGGAGGUCCGAACCCACGAGCGUUGAAAAGCUCGGGGAUGACUUGUGGGUAGCGGUGAAAUUCCAAUCGAGCCCGGAGAUAGCUGGUUCUCCCCGAAAUAGCUUUAGGGCUAGCCUCAAGGUGAGAGAUACGGAGGUAGAGCACUGAAUGUCCUAGGGGGUAUUGCACCUACCGAAGACUAUCAAACUCCGAAUGCCGUCAUCUUAUACUUGGGAGUCAGACUGUGGGUGAUAAGAUUCAUAGUCGAAAGGGCAACAGCCCAGAUCGUCAGCUAAGGUCCCUAAAUGUAAGUUAAGUGGUAAAGGAUGUGGGAUUGCACAGACAACCAGGAUGUUGGCUUAGAAGCAGCCACUCAUUCAAAGAGUGCGUAAUAGCUCACUGGUCGAGUGAUCCUGCGCCGAAGAUUUCCGGGGCUAAAACUUACUACCGAAGCUACGGCAUCAGUAAUGAUGGGUAGGGGAGCUUCCCAUACGGGUUGAAGCAUGACCGUAAGGACAUGUGGACAGUAUGGGAGUGAGAAUGUUGGCAUGAGUAGCGAGAUGUGGGUGGGAAUCCCACAGGCCGUAAACCCAAGGUUUCCAGGGGAAGGUUCGUCCGCCCUGGGUUAGUCGGGACCUAAGCUGAGGCCGAAAGGCGUAGGUGAUGGACAACAGGUUGAUAUUCCUGUACUACCGAUAACCGUUUGAGAGAUGGGAUGACACAGUAGGAUAAGCUAAGCACACUGUUGGUUAUGUGUGCCCAAGCAUUGAGGCAGUCAAAGUAGGCAAAUCCGCUUUGAUAAUGCUGGGAUGUGAUGGGGAGCGAAAUUUAGUAGCGAAGUAGCUGAUUUCACACUGUCAAGAAAAGUCUCUAUCGAGGUUAAAGGUACCCGUACCGCAAACCGACACAGGUGGGUGAGGAGAGUAUCCUAAGGCCAGCGAGAGAACUGUUGUUAAGGAACUCGGCAAAAUGACCCCGUAACUUAGGGAUAAGGGGUGCCACCAUCAGGUGGCCGCAGAGAAUAGGCCCAAGCGACUGUUUACCAAAAACAUAGGUUUCUGCUAAGUCGCAAGACGAUGUAUAGGAGCUGACGCCUGCCCGGUGCUGGAAGGUUAAGGGGAUCUGUUAGGGCAAACGAAGCAGUGAAGUUAAGCCCCAUUAAACGGCGGCCGGAACUAUAACGGUCCUAAGGUAGCGAAAUUCCUUGUCGGGUAAGUUCCGACCCGCACGAAAGGCGUAACGAGUUGGGCACUGUCUCAACAACAGACGCGGUGAAAUUGUAAUUCCGGUGAAGAUGCCGGAUACCUGCGACAGGACGGAAAGACCCCAUGGAGCUUUACUGUAGCUUGACAU